rnacentral:lncRNA from 1 species
ACUUUCUUCAGGGCUAUCAGAUGAAGGCAGCAACGAAAACACCACCACAAGACCAACUUCAGGCUGGAGCUGAUGAUGCCACACAGAAAAUAGACUCUACUUAGAAAUGAAACUCAACUAAAGGUAAAAGUUGUCAGGAACAUCUCCAAGAAAGCCAGAGUCAGCCUCUAAACUUUGCAUCAAGAACGCAAUGGCUUCCCUGAGGGCCCAGGGACGCGUGGCAGCUGUGAGGCAGCCCCUUCUCUGCUGUCGAGGAACUGGACACUUCUCCUGUCCCUUCCCACAAGGGGCUUCCUGGAGCUCCUGCAACCCCAGGCAUUAGUUCCGGUGCAGUUCUAGGAUCAGAUCAAUUCACUCGACAACAAGAGAAACAAAUGGAGAUUCCUACACAAAGACUUUCAAGCACAAAGAAAUCCUGCUGCCUGUAAAGCGGAGCUGCCUCAGCCCUUGAUGAACGACAGAAAAUACCACCUACUGCCAGACCUCAACGCCUCACAAAACUCUCACCCACCUACUGCUUUUAGCUCACAUUCCAGGAAUUCAGAUGAAGUGAAGUGCUCUCAUGGGGACCAGGCAUGGUUAUGCCAGUCCACUGCCCUGCAAGCCUCAAGGGAAGCCAACUGCCCUUCAGCAAGUCACACCUGCCUUGGUGGAGGCCUUGAUUGGAAGUGCCACACGCUACAUGUCCAGUCCUGAGCGGGAGAAUCGGUGUAGGGACGUUCUGGGGAUGCCAGCUGUGGCCAGAUCAGGUCCAACUACAGAAGAAUAAUGAAGACUCCACCUGAGGGCUGGAAAAACAAAACCUCAAGUGUGAGGCAGCCAACCUGUUACCUCGAGGGACUGUUCCGCAGCACAGCGGGGCCAUGGGAACAGCAGCAGACACCCCGACCUCCUCGCUACCUAUCAACUAUGGCCUGAGUAUGAUAGACUUAUCCAUGGUUUAAACAGAAUAUAUUGUUUUCAACUUUGAAAAUAAGAAUAUGGAAAUCCAGAUGCAGAAAUGUGAGAAGAAAAGAGAGUAAACAGAGUGGAAGGUCAGGUGACCUUGCCUGUCAUGAAUAUGAAGGUCAAGGUGUGUGAAUUGUGAAAUUUCCAAGAGAACCUCACUGAAGCAAAGAAUGAAGAAAGAAUUGCAUUUGGCCCUGGGAGGGUGCAGGGGUGAAUGGUGCAGGAGCUAAAUCUUUAUCAUACCCAGAAAUCAACAGCCACUAUUUGAAAUCAUCUAAAUUCGUGCUGCUAACCUUCAGUGUACACACGAAUCACCUGGGGAUCUUACUAAAAGCUAGUUUCUGAUUCACUAAAUCUGUGUGUGGUGGAAGUUGAGGGCAGAGAAGCUCCCGAGGGUGUCAAGCUGACUCUGAACCCGACUUUGAGGGUUAAGGUCCCAAAUGGCAUCGCCAGCACCAGGGACAGACACUAAAAUUGUAGAAAUCGUCUCAAGAAAUGAACAGCCUCUAAGUCAGAUGUUGAAUGUGAAAGAAAUCAGGGUGUGUACGUGUGUGUGCAUUUGUGUGUGCACGUGUGUGCCUGUGUUUGUCUCUGUGCAUGUAUGUUUCUAUGUGUGCACAUGUGUGUAUGUGUCUGUACAUGUGUGUUUCUGUGUGUGUGCCUGUGUGUGUAUUGGCUUAGAUCUGUUCGAGACUUUUUAUUUGAUGAGAUCGAUAUAUGCCACCACUUUUGGAAAGGACAACGUAUAUACAAAGACAAUGAUUACUUAUGUAAU